rnacentral:pre_miRNA from 1 species
UGGGGUGACCAGCUGGUCCUGGUUUGCCAGGGACUUUCCAAGUUCGAGUGCUGGAAGUCUCCUGUCCAGGAGCCCCCUAAAUCCUGGGUAAACCAGGACAGCUGGUCACCCUGUAAACCA